AUGAAUUUACAGAUAAGAAAGCACUGUAAUUUUCCCCACAUAUUCUAUAAUCCUUUUACAUAUAUAUUAUUCUAUAUUUUCUUUAUACAUUUAUUUAUUCCCCAUGUAUUGUAUAUGUAUGUAUAUUAUAUAUUGUAUAUGUUGCCUCUUUACCUUUGGAUUGCCAAUACCAUGCCACCCUCACAUUAGAGCCAAAGACACAAACACACUUAUACAUUCACACAUAUACACACACAUAAUCACAGACCCAAACUUAAUUACAGACAUACACUCACAAUGACAUACACACAUAAUCACAGACAUACACACACAUACAAAUCUACACACACAUUUAAUCAGAUAUAUACACAUAACGAGAGACAUACACACAAUCACAGGCAUACACACACACACACACAUAAUCACAUUCUUAUACAAAUACAAUUUUGUCUUUAUUAAAAGGUCCACCAUUGGGAGGUCUGAAGUGGUUCUUCUCCCUGGUGACCAGUGGUU